rnacentral:siRNA from 1 species
AGUGACCAAAGAAGAAAAGUGCA